UGUAUGGUUAAUUUAACUGAAUUUUUAGUUAGUUUUUAAGUUUAAAAAAUAAGAUUUUGAGAGCUUUUCAAGUAAACAAUCUUUUUUUCACUAACAAAACUUUCAAUUUUUCAAGUGAAAUGUAGACGCAUACAAAGUUACAAAGGCAACUUCAAAUUCCAAAUUAUUAUUUUUCAAAGUUGAAUUUCAAAGACUAUACUAAUAAAUAUUUGCAGUGUUUGUCUCCUAGAAGAAUAGAAUGAUAGUUGUGUUUUCCUUGUCACAAAAGAAUUACUCAAGAAGUAGCUUUGUGGCUGCAUUAGAUCAACACAACCAUCAAUUGUGUCAAUUUAGCAAACCCCCUUUUAUUCUUCUAAUUGAUAUAUGAAGCUAUAGUAGAUAUGGAAGGUGGGAAAGGAAUAACAGCGAAUCCACGCCCUUGCAGCAUUCAUAGAGUGUUGCCAAGCAAUAAAAGGCAUCGAACUGAUAAUAAUGGUUUGCUCAAUAGUGUCAACAAACUUCAAAGGCGUGAGAUUUCAUCUCGUAAAGAUCGUUGUUUUGCCCUUGCUAAUUCCCAUGAGAAGUUCCGUAACAUGUGCCUCACGGAGGAAUAUGAUACUCAUGAACCAAGGGGGCAUUUUCCAUUAGCUUUUCCUUUCUUGAUGACGAGAGCGAAGGUUGUUGAGAUCGUUGCAGCCCGUGAUAUUGUAUUUGCACUUGCACAUUCUGGUGUAUGUGCAGCUUUUAGUAGAGAGACAAAUGAAAGGAUCUGUUUCCUGAAUUUAAGUCCUGAUGAAGUGAUCAGAAGCUUGUUCUACAAUAAGAACAAUGGUUCAUUAAUCACAGUAUCAGUUUAUGCUUCAGACAACUUCAGUUUGCUGAAAUGCAGAUCCACAAGGAUUGAAUACAUACAGCGUGGCAAGGCCGGUGCAGGUUUUCCCCUUUUUGAAUCAGAGGCUCUGAAGUGGCCUGGCUUUGUAGAGUUUGAUGACGUAAAUGGGAAAGUGCUUACUUACUCUGCUCAAGAUAGUAUUUACAAGGUCUUUGACCUGAAAAAUUAUAUGAUCCUGUACUCUAUAUCGGAUAAGAAUGUACAAGAAAUCAAAAUCAGUCCAGGUAUUAUGUUACUGAUUUUCACUCGAGCUCAGAGUUAUGUUCCACUAAAGAUAUUGUCUAUAGAAGAUGGGACAGUUCUUAAAGAUUUCAACCACUUCAUUGAAAUAAGAAGGUUGAUUUCAUUGAACAAUUCAAUGAGAAAGUUCUUGUCAAACAAGAUAAUGAGGAUCUCCAAAUUCUAGAUGUAUAUUAGCUUCCUAACAUGCUAUUUUCUUACUUUCUUUGCCUGGUUUACACUCUGCGCUUUGACUUCCUUUCUUGGUACAGGUUCGCAACGCUGAGCUGAAAGAGGAAUGGAACCAUUGCUGCAUGGAAUUUCCGUGGAGAACUUGUAACUUCUUUUGAGGAUCACCAAUUGUGGCAUCCAGACUGCAAUACUAACAACAUUUAUAUUACUAGUGGUCAGGACCUCAUCA